rnacentral:lncRNA from 1 species
GGAGAGGAUCCAUAAUGGAUUGAAAACAUUUCUUUUUAGAAUAAAUUUUAUCACUGCUUAUAGUGCUUGUAUUUAAUAUUUAAAAAAAAGUGUAGUCUUGAAUGUUUCUUUCUCCACAAUGACUUCUCCAUACUUUCUUUCCAAUGUUCAGCAGUCCACAAACAUUCCAUGUGCAAGUCUAAUAAUUUUCCAUAGUUUCUUUGUCCUUUCAAUAACAGAAAUUCCAUGUGAUGCCUGGUUGCCUACAUCCCAGUGGCCAGUAGCCCAUUUCAUAUUCUCAGGCCCAAAACCUGACAAAUGCCAAUUGCCGGUUGGAGCUUAUAGCUUAUCAUAACCAUAAUUCUGUCCAUCCAUGAUUCAUAAAUAUUCUUGGGAAGUCGAAAGGAUCUUAAUGCAGUGGUUUUUCCUUGCCUUCUACACUAAUAAAUUAGAAUAAGUAAUUUAUUCCAAAAAUUGAAAGCUUUUUCACCAAAACAAUUGGUCUUUUUUUAAUAAGACUGUUUGCUUUGACUGCUAAGCACUUAAGUGAUUAAUAUUUGGGGUUAUUUAUUAUUUGUAAUUAAUAAAUUUAUUGAU